rnacentral:tRNA from 1 species
GCUCAGCUAGUUCAGUCGGUAGAGCAUAGGCCCUCAAUCUCAGGGUCGUGGGUUCGAGCCCCACGUUGAGUG